AUAGCAGCCGGUACUAUUAUUAAUUUUAAAUGGGAUGAUAUUUAACCGAAAAAAAUACUGGCUGCCAAAUUACCACAGUGGUUGUGGUCCUCUUCUUCCAUGUUUAACAUGGAGGAUCAAAACAGGUUUCUUUCUUUCCAAUGUAACCAAACAAAAAAGGUAACUGGCUGCCCUAUAAAAUUUAUAGUAUUUUAUUAUGUACGUCGGCUUGGCUGGUUGUGGAUGUGUUUGUGCUAAAAACCAGCCACUAAAAGAAAACGCACGUUUUGUUAGAGUAUCUUUUGAUUAAAGAGAGCAUCUCAAUGGGCGUGCUAUGAUGAGC
rnacentral:lncRNA from 1 species